CCCUGAUUGGCCCGGUCGCAAAAUUAUUAAUGGUAUAAUGCGUCCAACAAAACGAGAAUUAUGCUUGGAGUGAGUGUGACCAAUGAAGUCUCUCGUGUAAUGACACGCGUGGCGUACGUGAUCGUCAUCAUCAUCAUCAUCAUCAUCACGCGCGCUGACGAAAUAUUCGUCACUUUUGCUGCAUUGCUGCCAGCGUGAAACUUAAUGCGACUUUUCUGCCUUCAUCCCCCACGGCGGCCCGAGGCGAGACGUGUUGGCACGGAGACCCACUUGGAGCCCAGACCCUCAAAAUCCUGCAUGGGACACUUUUGGACACUUUCCCACACACCAGGUCCUUAGACAAUACGUCAUGGUUGGAUGAGGGGGCGACGUUAAUGAAUCCUCCUGUUGCAGAAAAGUCCUUCAGGUUUCAGUCAGGAUAUCUACAGGGCUCAAGCAGCACCUCCUCCUCCUCCAGCCCCGCAGCUCUGCGAUGGAGACACCGAGGAGGGAAGGUGAUCGCGCUGAAUAAUUGAUCAGGUCGGCUCGCUCAGGAACUCCAUGAAGUCAUUGGUCGCUCUGUUGCAUCCCCUGGAGGACCAGCCUGACUCGCUUUUUCCUUCACGGUACUUUGCAAC